CGCUUGCGCUUGCUUAUGUUUUAAGAGCCCGUACUCUCUUUUUUACUGCUCUCUUCACACUCACGCCCGUCUUUCAUAUGCCGGGUGAAAAAGGACGAUCGCCAAGUUAGCGGGCAGUUAUAUGUUUUCUGGUUUUUAAAGGGUUUUUUAUAU